rnacentral:rRNA from 1 species
UACGUAGGGGGCGAGCGUUGUCCGGAUUUAUUGGGCGUAAAGAGCGUGUAGGCGGCCAGGUAGGUCCGUUGUGAAAACUCGAGGCUCAACCUCGAGACGUCGAUGGAAACCAUCUGGCUAGAGUCCGGAAGAGGAGAGUGGAAUUCCUGGUGUAGCGGUGAAAUGCGCAGAUAUCAGGAGGAACACCAACAGCGAAGGCAGCACUCUGGGCCGGUACUGACGCUGAGGAGCGAAAGCAUGGGGAGCGAACAGG